rnacentral:lncRNA from 10 species
GAAGACAUUAUUUGAAUGAACAGCCCCGACCUCAAGGCACAUCUCAGCUGGCUUGCCAGCACUUCUGCAACCUCGUGUGGAAGAGCGGUCCAAACUUCAUGGAAACUAACCAAUGACCUUACCUCUCUCAUAAGGGUGUGAGGACUGCUCACCUAUCAGGAAACCACAAGAUUUCAAAACUACCAUGAGGAGAACCAGAUCACAUGCCACUGAAAAGUGCGCCCUGGAAGUUGGCACAACCACCUCCUGGAUGACCUCACUCCUGGCCAGGAGGGCCUCUGUGAAACUCUAGGCCCAGCAGUGCUUGACUUGACAUGCUGGGUCUGGGUUAGCCAGAGGCACAGCCUCCAGAGGCAUGGCGACAAUGAGGGUCUGCUCUUUGAGGAGAUUGGAGAGCUGGCACCGUUCUCCAAGGGACUACAUGGGAACAGCUUCUGCACAGAUCUUGGUAUCUCCUAAUUCUCAUGCCAGGGUCCCCUGAAGCCAAGGCACACCUUGCUGCAUGGAGGCCCAUCCUGAACAUCACAGUGAGCAUGAAGGAUGGAGGAUGUCAACUACAAGGCCCUUCAUUCACACGUCCCUUCCCACCCCAAUCCCACCCUCCAAUAAGAGCUUUGGUAGCCAGGCUGGCAGAUCACAUUUCCCCAGUGCUAGAGCUGAGAGAAGCAAGCUAAGACAAAACAUCUUGAGAAGAACUUAAAUAAUAGCCAGAGGGAUGCCAGAGCAAAAGCUAAGGAAAUUACAGGUAGCCAGAAACUAUAGAAAAGAGAGGAAAGGGAGAGGAUGUGAAAUGUCAGAGGAGAGGCAGAAUCUUACAAAUGUCCCAAGCAGAGAAAGGAGGUGUCACUUUCUUGGGUGUGUCUGACCUGGUUGUGGGCAGACAGGAGAGAAGGAGCUAAUGUCACCAAGCUGGCCCCAACACCUCCUUCCUCCAUGCAAAUGGAAGACUGAAAUCAGACUGGUCUGCAAUAGGCCACCCAGAGGCUUGGCAGUUUGAAAAAGUAGAUCUGAUUGCUAAAUGUGGAACUGAGUAUUAUACAAUCUGAGCUGGUCCAGUGAAAUCAGCACUUCAAUAUUCACGAGGGAGGUGUCUACCACCCUAGAGGAAAGUCUUAAUUGUGCAAAGAGGCAGAUGUGAGAGACCCAGAGUUGGGCCACCUUGUCCUAGGCCAUUUCCCCACAUUUCAACUUUUAGCAUGGGCUCUCCCACCACCCUCCAUGAGAAAAGGCACCUCCUUCCUCCCCUCAUCCCACCCCUUCCCAAUGCACUGCAUAGGUGAGGGAGGCAACAGAGCCAUGCCCAGUCCUAGAACAGAAAUGUGGACCAAGCAUACCGCAUUCAAACCCUGGAUGCGCACUAGUGAAAGAUUCAUUGAUUGUUUGUUGAAGGUGCAGCCAGAGGACAGGCCCAGGGGCCACUCCCCAGGCCAGCUGUGCCAGGCAGCACCUGCUGCCACACCACUGUCUUCUGCUCCAGCCCCUCUGGAGCCUAUGUCUUGUUCAUUGUUAUGGAAGCUCUUUCAUGCCACAGACAAAGAACCUUAACAAUCACAACUGACUUCUUUGUUAAUGGCAGUUUAUUGUUGUUAAAUUAAUAUUCCGGUUCUCACAUGAUCAAAUUCUCUGACUAGAAUCCAAGAAUAUAUUAUAAUCUAUAUUUUCUCAGAACCAGAGAAGAAAAGGUAGGAGAAUAAUUCUUAAUAGCAGGUCAACUUCUUCUCUGUCAAAGAACUCACAUGAUGGUGAUUUCCAGUGGACAGAGAAUUAAACAGGACCCAGGUGUCCAAGUGAAGCUCUGCAGGUAGAACCCCAGUGCCGAAGUCCACAUGGACACGGAGCCACCUAGCACUGGCAGCCGCCCAUUCUCUGGCAGGAAAUGAAGGAGAGAAGACCAAAGGCAAGACUUCUUCCAGAGACUCCAGCAAGCCACUGUACCAACUAUGCCUUAUUCAAAUGGUGUGCAGUAUAUUCUUCAUUAUAAUAAAAGGUCUACCCAUACAAUCACCCAGAGAGGUAACUAUUUUUACUAGUUGACAAAAAAAAGAGUAAGAAAGUUGAAAUCAUAAAUUCAGUUAAUAAAAUGUAUGACCUAGAUUCUAUAGCACAUGCUAGAAGGGGGAUCAAAAAUCUAGAUCCACGCUAGCAGCCAGUAAAAAAAGAGAGGCACAAUCAGUUAACAGGAUCCGCAGAUCAGUAUGGUAAAAUCAAAUCAAUUGCCUAGGAGAAGCAUAAUUAUUCCGGAGCAAGGGAGAAACUUCACGUUUUCAUAGACAGAUUUUGUGUGAUGGGAUCAGCAAUAUCCAUGACACCCUUAUAGUAAACAGAGCCCAGUAGAACUCAUUACUUUUGUGUGAUGUUCUCAGAAUAGUUCAGAGGCUAGUGGACAAUAUGGGCCAAAGGUGAAAGCAAUUCCAUGGAGACUAAUAUAAUAUGGUCCAGGCACAGUGCUGUAAAUACACAGCAAGCACCUUGUGCUCAACAUGUGCCAGGCACUGUUCAGAGCACUUUGACAUAAUGUUUGAGUUUCUUACAAAAUGUUUCUAUUGAGUAAUUAAAAUAUAUUUGAAAAUCUAGAAGCACUGUUAGAGGACCUAGAACAGUGGUUCCUCAUAUUUGCCCCUCCUAUAACAGAUUCGAGGAGCCAACUCCUUUCCUAGCAGGCAUACUGGUCCAUACAGCAGUGGUGUGCAUGGCAGACAGGUCCCUCCCCCACCCCAAUCACUGUUCUAGAGGAACAGUGCAUCUUCCUCUUCUACAGGUCCUUCAAAAUCACCGUUCUCCAGCAAGCUUUUUAAAGGUAAACAGCAGUGAAAGAUAAUGUUCCAGAUGGAAACCCACAGUAUCACUAUCCUUUGCUUUUGAUGAAGUCAGAGCCAUGUGUUUUCAUGAUCUAUAUAGGACUAGGAUGUUAAAAAAAACUGCGUUCUUCAGAAGGGCAUAGGCCAGGAUCAAAUGCCACCUCUGCCUGGAGAAAAACUUGGAAAGCAUCUGAGAACAGGGCCAAGAAGAGGAUUGUCUUGCUGAAUGCUAAUACUCAUCAGCCUAAGCAUUUGUCCCUGACUCCCACCUAGUGGCUUCUUCCAGCACUGCACAGGGACAAAGAACCACCACUGAUGCCACCUGAGCCCGGCCCAGGAGCCCCUUGGGAGCUGAGCGCAGAAAGAAAGCACGGACACACCUACUCCUUUCUCAUCUCUCACUCAAGUUCACACCUGUCACAGGGGAGGUAAGAAAACAUGCUGGAAAUCGGCUCACACAGGCUCUACUUUUUUUCUUGAAAAAUAAGCACCAAAUUUUCCCUCCUCUAAGAUCCAGAGGAAAAGGUUUACCUACAAAACUCCUUCUGUAACUUUUCAAAAUUGAAAUGUUCAACACACACGUAUCCUGACUAUCUUUUGUUUUCCAUUCUGGAGAUACAGAAAUGAAUCCCAUGGUAAAAAAAUUCAAGCUCACAUUUUAUAAUUCAUAAAACAGCUUUUUCUCUCCACUUUUUUUUUUGCAACUCCUCUAGCUUUUCAAUAUGGUAAACAGAUUUGCUUCUUGGACAGAAUGAAAGAUUGCAAGCUGAAUCUGGCAGGAAUGUAUGGGCUUUGUUUGAGGAGCUGGGAGCUGAAGAAACCGCCAUCUGUGACAAGGUGGUUUGGAGCUGAGAAGGGGGGGUGGCUGUGCUCCCCAGCCUGGGUCUGGGUUUCUUUGUUUCUUGGGAAACUAGUUAAAAAGGUAACUGAGGGCACCUGAACUGACUGCUGGGCUAUCAGAGGUGAGCACUUAUCCCAGCUGGGGCCAGCAGAGGCUGCUCAUUCAGGAGAGCAACUCUUCAGGUUUUUCAAUAUGGUAAACAGAUUUGCCUCUCCACUGUUGAGAUGUGGGCCUCCAUCAAGCUCUAACAUAAGGGCAGCAGUAAACUGAGAGGUUCCUAACCUGUCUCCACACUUUGGAACCCAAGAGGUCAAGACUGAGGGAGGCAAAGGCUGGUGCUUACAAAGAGACCACUCCAUAUAGCCCCCAGAACAAACUGCAGAAUUGGAAUGCUUGGCCAGAUCUUGCAGACACUUUCAAACUCAGCUGUCAUUUCCAGUAGGGAAACUGAGUCCCACAGAAGUGAAGAAGAGGCUCAUGAGUGGUAGAGCCAGGGUAGAACCCUGGCCUUUUAACUCCUUCCUACCUUCCAUACUCCCUCACCCUGGUUCAAUCUGCUUUCACCUGCUCAAGCACACUGACCAGGACUCUUGAGACCUUGCAAAGAAAAGCCUGGGUUCCUAUUGGAUGGCCAAGCCUACUCCAUGUACCCCAGUUCCAAACAGGGCCUAGAGUACAUACAGCCCUUCUGUGGGUUCUCUGCCAAGCACCACCCCUCACCCUGGAGCCUGAGCUCUUCCUUGACUUGCCUUCACUUUGCUGCUGGGUUUGCCUGCCCUUUCUCUGGCUUCAUCUUGAAACUUCACCAAGAAUCUCCUUGGCCCAUACCCAAUGUAUUAAACAGCAGAACAGACUGGCUGGCUGGUAGGAGAUGAAGGGUGUACAUAACAUACUGUUAGAGAAGCACCCAUGGCUACUUCAUAUGGAGACUCUGCUGGCUCUGGUAUCUUCUGGGCGUCACCCAAAGACCUGGGACACGAAUCAACACUGUGUAUCAGCCUAGGUCUACUCCUCCCAGCUAACUGGCUAUCCCCAGCCCUGUAGAGCCCAUCUGAAUCUGACUGGCUAUCCUGUCUAAGGUUUCCACCACCCAACCUAGCCAAAGAUCUAUGCCACUAACCACCAGCCAAGCCAAGCAGGUGUGGAGGGGUAGAGACACCCCUUUCAGACCAUGGGAAAGCCCCACUCAAGGCACAGCCAAAAUCCUGGAAGUGGUCACAGUUGUACCGGGUCCUUCUUGCCUGGGCCAGGUACCACAUGCCAGGGCCACUGAUGAUUACAUGCCAGCAUAUGCCAGGGCCACUGAUGAGCACUGCUUCCCUUUCUGGGCUUCAGGACCACCUGUGGGGUUCUGGGGCUCCUGAACUGAAAUAACCACACCCUCCCGAGGGCAUCAUCCUACAUUUCACCAUAGUAAACAGAGAAGGAGGAGGCUGCCCCUUUUCUAGAACUCAGCUCUGUUCCCAUCACAAAAGAGCUGCCUCAGCCUUCCAGCCAGGGCCUCAGCUUCAUCCUCCAUGAGCACUGACCCUGAGCUUGGCUGUGUCUUCCAGUUGUAAAGGACUACCUUCCCAUCUCCUGAGGGUAACACUGCUCUGCUGCACCACAGGCAGGACAGCCUCCCUGAUGCUUCCUCUGCAGGCCAGGUCCCAGCCCAUCUUAGACCCCAAGACACCCUCUAUACAAGGUCCUCAUUCACCAACUUUCCAGAGGAAAUACUGCUCCUAGACCAAGGGAAUCCAAGCCCUUUGUUCCUUGCCCCACUGAGGCCCCAGAGGGUAUCCCCAUUAAGAAAGCCUUGCACAUGCCCUUCUAGGCCCAGAGCCCACUUCUCCUCAUUAUACUUACCAAGGAGCAGGAUGCUAGUUUAGACUCCAGAGCAUGGGAAACUCACUUAACCCAGUGCCACUGACUCCUGGGCAGGUCUGCUCCACUUGGGCUUUAGAACUAGUCGCCUCUGUUUUAUACCCAUCUCCAGGCAAAGUCCUGGCCAACAGCACUCCUACUUCUGCCAACUGUGCUGGCCCAGCUGUGCUUUAGCUCUGCCAGGACCCAGAAGAAGAGGAACCAGCCCUACCACAAAGAAACAGCUACCCAAUAGGAGGCACUAGGACUAGGAGUGCCCUUUUCAUGUAAGACAUAGAGAGCCCAGGACUAGUCUGCUAUUUGUCCUAUUCUAACUAUGGACCACUCCUCCACAUCUACCCCUGCUUCUCAGCAGCCCAUUCUUCUGAUGGACCACAGAUGCUCCAGUGCCAGAAGAUCUGCAGUCCCAGAUGAGCAGCAGCAGUACAAGAUACAUUUCCCACUAUGUAAUCCCUCCCCUCUGCUAACAGUUGAUUCACUCUGGGGUAGACACUGGACCUAAGGUGUGCAUCCAUAGCUUGUGAAUAAAUUAAAAGUCUUUAAUGUCUAUUUCUUUUACACUUAACGCUUCUUCAUUGAUCUGGAGGACUUCGCUCAAAAAUAAUUAACUGGGUCAAUCAGAUCCUUUUCCUUAGAAACUUGAGUUUAAAAAGAAAACAUAUUGAGAAAACAUGGAAAGAAUUUGUCAGCCAACAAGAGUAAACUCAAACCUAACAGAAGUCUGUGGCAGUCACUCUGAGCUGUCUUCCUGAGGGCCACUUUCCCCCACUCUAUCAUCAUUCUUUUCUGACAGAGGCCACCUCCCUCUAUGGCAGGUGGAAGUGCCAAUACUUGCUUUCCCAGCCUCCCUUGCAGCUAGGGUAUGCACAGGUGAACAAAUUCUGGCCACUGCAGCUAAAUGGGAAGUCUGCUAGGGGGUUGCAGAGAGUUUCCCUCCUGAUUAAAAACAACAAAAACAUACUAAAGAAAUGAUUCUCUACCUCUGCACACAGUUGUAUAGUUGUGUCUUGUAAGGACAUGUUGCCUGCAGUUCUAGUGGCCAUCUUGCAACUGUUAUGGGAUGUGCCUGAGCAAAAACCACCCCUUGAGGAUGGCAAAGAAAAAAGAUGGGAAGAACCAGUACCCAUGAGGUCACUCAGAGCCACUUAUUUAACCCUGGGACUGUCUGUCUUCUGGACAUCUUGUUAGUGGUCUAUCUUGUUAUUGUUUACAUCAUUUUACUGGAAAAAGUAUCCCAACUGAUAUAGGUGUCACGAGGCAGAGUUGGACCAUGUCAGGCCAGUGUCAUGGCCAAGCAGGAAUUCUAGGUGUGAACAAUGCCAAUGUGUCUACAGAGGAGAAGGGAGCAAAUAUGCAAGGGAUGCACAGACAUCAUGCAUGAGAAGGCGCUGGGCAGUGCUGCCUAAUCCUUCAAACCAUCUUACUAGUUCCAACUCCAAUCCUAACCCACAUGGGACUUUAAAAAAAUAAUUCAACUGAGUCUCCAGGGUUGAACGCAGCGCUUCUUAAACUUUAAUGUGCUUACGAGUCACCUGGAGAUGGUUCAGCAAGUGUGAGAUGGGAGCCCAUAGUCUGCAUUUUUCACAAGCUACGAGGGGAUAAGAAAGCUGCUGAGCCACAGACCAAAAUUUGAGCAGCAACAACUUCUAACUAAAAGUGUCAAUCUAAAGCACUUGAUGAGUUUGCUCACCAGUCUGAAUUCUAUUCCCAUACAGAUUAAGACCUUGUGUGGAAUGUGGAUGUGCUGAUCAUAAAAUGACUUUAGGUCUGCAAGAUCUAAAACACAGACAGGCUAUCUCUGUCCAGAAUAAAAACCUUAACAUGCAGCCCUUACAACUUGGAAUGUUUAUAUGAACUUCUGACCCCCUAAAAGUACUUGCUUCGCCAUGCAUAGGUUAGUGAUGGCCAUAAUUACUCUAGAAGAUUUAUGAAUGCAAUCACUUUUAGGGAAAUCUCUUCAAAGGAAGGCAUUCCCUAAACCAUUGUAAAUAACCCCAAGACAAAACUGCAAAUCUGAAUGCAAGCUGUUUUCUACCAAUGCAUCUUGAAAAAACCAACAACAAUGUCAACUGCCUUUGGAUCAAAAAUAUUUUUAAUAAAUUUCCAAAAACUGUUUUAAAAGUUAGAUUCAUUGUUUAUACCAAAUGCUAAAAAAUAUUGUUGAUGGAUUGGAGUUAACCAUAAAAUAAAAAUCAAACCAUAAACUUACUAGAGGAAGAUACAGGUGAACAGUUAUCUGUUCUGAGGUUGGGAAAGGCGUUGCUAGGGCCAAAAGGAAAACAAGAAACCAAAAUAGGAAAGACUGAUAGAGUCAAGUACAGUUGUUUAAAAUUCUGUGUCUCAGAAAGCACCUAAACGUUAUUUAAAAACAGAGUGAGGAAAAUAUAUGCUACAAAUAAAGCAAACGGCUAAUAAAAGGUCAUUCAAAUAGAUAAGAAAAACACUAAAAUCCUAAUAGAAAACAACAGCAUAGACUACGAAUAGACUAGAGUGGGAGAGGUGCAUCCAAGAGGCUCAAGGUGAUUUCUGGGUGUACAGGGAAAAAUAUGGGAACUAUUUUUUAACCUAUCCUUUAAAACUCUAUUUUGGUGAACAGUGGAUACCCUAAAUACCCUGACUGACUUGAUCACUAUGUGUUAUAUACAUGUAAGGAAAUUUCACAUGUACCCCAC